GGGUACUCAUGCUGCGUUCGAGUAUUCUCUGCGAACCGACUCGGAUCUCGGAUCUGACGCCACGCCCGUCCACAUCGAGGGGGCGGCCACUCAGUUCACAUUGAGGACUGGUCAAACAGCAUUUCUGAUCCCGUUUCUGACCUGAAAUUAGCUGAAAUGUACCUGAAAUUACCUGAAAUUAGAGUGUGCCCGCCCGAGCGAGUGAUGCCUAAAACAUGCAAAGACACGUCAGUGUAAUUGUGGAUGGCGAGAGCCCUGAAAUACAGCUGGACAGCAGCGGUCUACAUCACUGCCCCUUCUGCAGAUACAAAGGGUCAAAAUGUGAUAUCGACCAUCACAUUAAAUGCCAUGCCUCGGUUAAAUACAGAGGUCUGCAGAGGAGCUUUCAGGAAGCAGGAAGAGAAGACGGGAGGGAAAAAAGCUACAGACAAAACUGAAGACCAGGAACUGGAACCUGGGAACCUGGAAGAAUAUGUUGUCCUGAAGGACACAAUUCAGGCAGCAGCAUGGUGCCAGUUACAGUCCUUCAAGGACAGCCUUUCUCUCCCAGAGGUCAUUGGGAUGGAAGGUUGGGAGCAGAUGGCAGCAUCAACACAGCGCAAAUCCCAUGACGGCGGGGAUGAGGAAGAAACGUGGAACCCAUUCCAAUUCUCAUUCAGAUUACAUACUGACUAUGAACUGUUCUGUGUGGAGAUGAUGGACAGGAGAAACCUGAAGGUGUUUGCCUCUUUUGAGUCAAACACCUCUACCCCUCCCCGUCCCCCCUCCCUGUGACGCCUGCGCCACACGACUCCAAUGUAGUCUGAUGAUGCAGCAUAAUGGCGGCGCUUGGCAGCUAUGGCUGCGGUGACGGCGAUGUCGGGC
ensembl:lncRNA